rnacentral:rRNA from 1 species
GUACACUCCUGCGGGAGGCAGCAGUGGGGAAUUUUGGACAAUGGGCGAAAGCCUGAUCCAGCAAUGCCGCGUGAGUGAAGAAGGCCUUCGGGUUGUAAAGCUCUUUUGUCAGGGAAGAAACGGUGAAAGCUAAUAUCUUUUGCUAAUGACGGUACCUGAAGAAUAAGCACCGGCUAACUACGUGCCAGCAGCCGCGGUAAUACGUAGGGUGCAAGCGUUAAUCGGAAUUACUGGGCGUAAAGCGUGCGCAGGCGGUUUUGUAAGUCUGAUGUGAAAUCCCCGGGCUCAACCUGGGAAUUGCAUUGGAGACUGCAAGGCUAGAAUCUGGCAGAGGGGGGUAGAAUUCCACGUGUAGCAGUGAAAUGCGUAGAUAUGUGGAGGAACACCGAUGGCGAAGGCAGCCCCCUGGGUCAAGAUUGACGCUCAUGCACGAAAGCGUGGGGAGCAAACAGGAUUAGAUACCCUAGUAGUCCC